rnacentral:tRNA from 1 species
GCAGUCGUGGCCGAGUGGUUAAGGAGAUGGACUAGAAAUCCAUUGGGGUCUCCCCGCAUAGGUUCGAAUCCUGUCGACUGCG